rnacentral:tRNA from 1 species
GGAGGGCUGUGACUCAGUGGUAGAACAUCUACUUGGCAUGCAGAAGGUCCCGGUUUCAAUCCCCACCAUCUCCA